GCCUGCGAUGAGCAGGAGGAAGGUGGGGAUGACGUCAAAUCAUCAUGCCCCUUAUGUCUUGGGCUUCACGCAUGCUACAAUGGCCGGUACAAUGGGUUGCGAUACUGUGAGGUGGAGCUAAUCCCAAAAAGCCGGUCUCAGUUCGGAUUGGGGUCUGCAACUCGACCCCAUGAAGUCGGAGUCGCUAGUAAUCGCAGAUCAGCAACGCUGCGGUGAAUACGUUCCCGGGGCUUGUACACAC
rnacentral:rRNA from 11 species